GAGUUUGAACCUGGCUCAGGAUGAACGCUGGCGGCGUGCCUAACACAUGCAAGUCGAACGGAUCCAUAUUGAAACCUAGUGAUGUAUGGAUUAGUGGCGGACGGGUGAGUAACGCGUGGAUAACCUGCCGUAUACAGGGGGAUAACACUUAGAAAUAGGUGCUAAUACCGCAUAAGCGCACGGUUCCGCAUGGAACAGUGUGAAAAACUCCGGUGGUAUACGAUGGAUCCGCGUCUGAUUAGCCAGUUGGCGGGGUAACGGCCCACCAAAGCGACGAUCAGUAGCCGGCCUGAGAGGGUGAACGGCCACAUUGGGACUGAGACACGGCCCAAACUCCUACGGGAGGCAGCAGUGGGGAAUAUUGCACAAUGGGGGAAACCCUGAUGCAGCGACGCCGCGUGAGUGAAGAAGUAUCUCGGUACGUAAAGCUCUAUCAGCAGGGAAGAAAAAAAGUCCUUUGGACUUUGGACG
rnacentral:rRNA from 1 species